UAUCCUGUCUGAAUAUGGGGGGACCAUCCUCCAAGGCUAAAUACUCCUGACUGACCGAUAGUGAACCAGUACCGUGAGGGAAAGGCGAAAAGAACCCCGGCGAGGGGAGUGAAAAAGAACCUGAAACCGUGUACGUACAAGCAGUGGGAGCACCCUUUGGGUGUGACUGCGUACCUUUUGUAUAAUGGGUCAGCGACUUAUAUUCUGUAGCAAGGUUAACCGAAUAGGGGAGCCGGAGGGAAACCGAGUCUUAACCGGGCGUUAAGUUGCAGGGUAUAGACCCGAAACCCGGUGAUCUAGCCAUGGGCAGGUUGAAGGUUGGGUAACACUAACUGGAGGACCGAACCGACUAAUGUUGAAAAAUUAGCGGAUGACCUGUGGCUGGGGGUGAAAGGCCAAUCAAACCGGGAGAUAGCUGGUUCUCCCCGAAAGCUAUUUAGGUAGCGCCUCGUGAAUUCAUCUCCGGGGGUAGAGCACUGUUUCGGCUAGGGGGCCAUCCCGGCUUACCAACCCGAUGCAAACUGCGAAUACCGGAGAAUGUUAUCACGGGAGACACACGGCGGGUGCUAACGUCCGUCGUGAAGAGGGAAACAACCCAGACCGCCAGCUAAGGUCCCAAAGUCAUGGUUAAGUGGGAAACGAUGUGGGAAGGCCCAGACAGCCAGGAUGUUGGCUUAGAAGCAGCCAUCAUUUAAAGAAAGCGUAAUAGCUCACUGGUCGAGUCGGCCUGCGCGGAAGAUGUAACGGGGCUAAACCAUG
rnacentral:rRNA from 1 species